UACGAAGGGGACUAGCGUUGCUCGGAAUCACUGGGCGUAAAGCGCACGUAGGCGGCCGAUCAAGUCAGAGGUGAAAGCCUGGAGCUUAACUCCAGAACUGCCUUUGAUACUGUUUGGCUAGAGUUCGGAAGAGGUUGGUGGAACUGCAAGUGUAGAGGUGAAAUUCGUAGAUAUUUGCAAGAACACCAGUGGCGAAGGCGGCCAACUGGUCCGAUACUGACGCUGAGGUGCGAAAGCGUGGGGAUCAAACAGG
rnacentral:rRNA from 1 species